AACGAACGCUGGCGGCAUGCCUAACACAUGCAAGUCGAACGAGACCUUCGGGUCUAGUGGCGCACGGGUGCGUAACGCGUGGGAACCUGCCCUUAGGUUCGGCAUAACUCCCCGAAAGGGGUCCUAAUACCGGAUAAUGUCUUCGGACCAAAGAUUUAUCGCCUUUGGAUGGGCCCGCGUUGGAUUAGCUAGUUGGUAGGGUAAAAGCCUACGAAGGCGACGAUCCAUAGCUGGUCUGAGAGGAUGAUCAGCCACACUGGGACUGAGACACGGCCCAGACUCCUGCGGGAGGGAGCAGUGGGGAAUAUUGGACAAUGGGCGAAAGGCUGAUCCAGCAAUGCCGCGUGAGUGAUGAAGGCCUUAGGGUUGUAAAGCUCUUUUACCCGGGAUGAUAAUGACAGUACCGGGAGAAUAAGCGCCGGCUAACUCCGUG
rnacentral:rRNA from 1 species